rnacentral:lncRNA from 1 species
UGCCAUGAAAAACUUCUCCAGGUCUACAAUGAUCGGAGAAGGUGGAUUUGGAGGCGUGUAUAGAGGUACAAUCCAAAGCUCCGACGACCCUGAAACCAAAAUUGAAAUUGCAGUCAAACAAUUGAACAGCAAUAGUUUCCAGGUAAGCUCUAGUACUCUCCAUACAUUUUUACUCCAUCUUGAGCUUUUCUGUGCUAUGUUGUAGGGACAUAAAGAAUGGUUGGCAGAAGUUAGUAUUCUUGGAGUAGCAGAGCAUCCAAAUCUUGUGAAGUUGAUUGGAUAUUGUGCUGGCGAUAAUGAAAGAGGACAGCAACGUCUUUUAGUCUAUGAAUACAUGCCUAACAAAACAGUAGAACGAUAUCUAUUAUCUAAAUCACAAGCAAUUCUUUCUUGGCCUGCGCGGUUAAAGAUCGCAUUAGAUUCUGCUCGUGGGUUAACUUACCUUCAUGAAGAAAUGGAAGACCAGGUUUGCUUCUUUCUCAUUUGUUUGUGAUUUCAAUACUCAAUUAUUUUUUAUACAAAUCAAAAUAAAGUGAGAUUUCCAAAAUCCAACUUUUGGUUUCAUAUCAGAUAAUUUUCCGAGAUUUUAAAACUUCAAAUAUUCUCUUGGAUGGAGAUUGGAAUGCCAAGCUCUCUGAUUUUGGGUUUGCUAGAUAUGGACCUUCAGACGGAAAGAGUCAUGUUUCAACAAUGGUAUGCUAUCAUUUAUUCUUUUCUUUUUACACUGUUGCACCACACAUGUUAUUUGAGAUAUGUUAUUUGAGAUAUUUUGGUGAUCCAACCAUCAUUCCAUUUAACAUGUGUAACUUAAAUUUAUAGAUCUUGUUCAGUUCACUAUUUUUCAUCACUUUUUUUUAUAUAUAUAAAUAUGUCGUAUUUAGUUACUUUAUAACUAGACUACGGAACCGAUAAGAAAAAGUCAAUGAAUUUCUUGUUCAUUUAUUUUUACUUUUAUUUUGUAAUUUGUAAUUUUGACAUUUUUUUUUUAAAUGAAAUUUAAUUACUUUAUGAAAAAGCUAACCUUGUUAUUUUUGAAAUAGGCACGUGGGAGUCAUGGCUAU